CUGGCCUUUUUCCGAGGCACGUGCACCCUUAAAGGGGAACUCUCGCCGUAUGGGCGCGGGGCAACCCGCGUCUUUCAUACCACCUCUUCGUGUAGAAAGUCUUUGAAUGUUUUUACCAUCAUCGAGUCGCGACUUCUAGGAGACGCGAUUCUUUGAGACAAAAGUUUAUUACAACUUUCAGCAAUGGAUCUCUUGGCUCUCGCAUCGAUGAAGAACGCAGCGAAUCGCGAUAUGUAAUGUGAAUUGCAGAUCUACAGUGAAUCAUCGAAUCUUUGAACGCACCUUGCGCUCCUCGGUGUUCCGAGGAGCAUGCCUGUUUGAGCGUCAGUAAAUUCUCAACCCCUCUCGAUUUGCUUCGAGAGGGUGCUUGGAUGGUGGGGGCUGCCGGAGACCUGGAUUUAUCCUGGACUCGGGCUCUCCUGAAAUGCAUCGGCUUGCGGUCGACUUUCGACUUUGCGCGACAAGGCCUUCGGCGUGAUAAUGAUCGCCGUUCGCCGAAGCGCAUGAAUGAACGGUCCCGCGCCUCUAAUCAGUCGACGCCUUCUGGGCG
rnacentral:rRNA from 1 species